GCCUGUGGCCAUACCACCCUGAGUGUGCCUGAUUGCAUCUGAUCUCAUGAAGCUAAGCAGGGUCAGGCCUGGUUAGCACUUGCA
rnacentral:rRNA from 1 species